GUUUUACCCCCACAGCUGAUAAAAGGGAUGCCUGGGAGGCUCUAGGGGAUGGCAGCCUGGGGGUCCCAGGGUGUGUCGGGGCUGAGGAGGCUGAUGGUGUAGAGCACGAAGAUUUGGAUGGAGGAGUCAGCUGCCAAACUCACGAAGCUGAGCCCAGCCAUGGCCCUCUGGUCCGUAGGGGAUCCCAUGGGACCGGUUGGAUCUGACCUGCCCGUGACGUGACGUGGGUUUGGGCUUAUCCUCAGCGCUCGCAGCUGAACUAACUUUUGGAUGCAGAGCAAGCCUGGAAAAGUCCAGCCCUGAGGUUUAUCAGUGCCUGAAGAGUGCUGAGAAAGAAAACCCAUCCCACAGCCUGGAGCAGAUCACAGCACUUGCAUGGAGAAGAUGCAAGAAGAGUAUCUUGUCCCUCACCUGGCCAUCGAGCUCUGUGGCUGCAUGAGAAGGGCUUUGAAAGCAGCAGGCAGGGCAUGGGGAGGUGGCAGCACCACCGUGAGCUGGGUGUGGAGGUGCUGGGGUCUCAUUGGGGUCCCAAGCCGGGCUUUUCUGGGACAUCCCCCCAUUAUCCCCAGCACUGGGGUGUGCACGUGGUGGAGAUG